rnacentral:lncRNA from 1 species
UCAGGCAGAGCCAGGCUGUGUCCUGGAGCCAUCGGCCCCGUUGCAGGUGCUGCUCUGACUCUUCAAGUCUGUCCUCUCCCAUGAGACGGAUUGUCCAGUGCCUUCAGAUUGGAACAGGUAGAAGAUUCUCCUCCACGUGGAGUGGGAAGUCGGCAGGUAUCAUCUCCACUGCUUCACAAGAUGCUUUUUCCCAGAGAGGCAAAAACGCCCGUGAGGGUGACCCGGCUGGGAGGCAAACCCUGUCCUGCCCCCAGCUCUUGGCACUGUAACUUUCUUUCUGCCCCUGCACCCAGAAAUGCUCAUCUGUGUCUACCUCCGGGAACUCAGCAGCCUGGAUGCUGCAUGAGACCCUGAGGGACUGCAGUACCAUCUUCCCAGUUUGUCGACAGGCACGUUGAGGCAGGUACUGGGAUCAGGCUUGGGCAAAUGAGCCUCUGAGAGGGUGGAUCCUUCACUUACGAAUGAGGUCCUUCUUUCCAUAGGAGCAGGAAAAAGGCCGUUUGUCGUAAGGGUCACUGCUGUUACUGGUCACCUCUGGGUGCGAGUCCUGGGCUAAUCGCAUAUCUUGCGGGACCCUGACAACUCCCCCAUUUAUCAGAUGAGGCAAAGCAAGGCUCAGUCACUUGCACAACGCAUAUCGCUAGUAAGCGUUGCUGGUGGGAUCACACUCAGCACUUCAUAGGCAAAGAAAAUCCCAGGAGUGCCGAGGAAACGCUGUCAAGAUGUCAAAAAUACGCGGAAAGGGAAAAAAGGAAUUGCUACGGAAAGAGAGGUGGGAGAGGAACCCAGUCAAUUUCACCUGCUCCCCUUCCUCCAGGAAGAAUCGGAACCGAAAGCUUAAUAAGUGUGGUUGUUUUGAUAUUCGAAUCAUGAGACCCAAGGCAUCGUAGGGGACCUCGCCUGCAUCCAUUCGCCUAUCCAUCCUACAGCAGCGACUGCACCCCUGAUUGUGAUGACGAAUGCACCCCCAUCCUUGGGCUCCGUGCCCACUGCUGGGCUGGGCUGCUCCCUCAGGUGCGGCAGCCAGAGGAGGUGUGGACUCCCAUCCCACGCGUUUAUCCUCCUGCAGCCUCUCGAGCUUGGUGGCAUAGCCGUCCUUCCAGUCCCCAAGCCAGAUGUCCUUGAUGCCCCUUCUCCCAGCCCCAUCCCCAUCGCCAGUUGUAUCAGUUUUCUAUUGCUACUGUAACAACUCACUACAAAUUGAGUGGCUUAAAACAACACACAUCUACUCUCUUACAGUUCUAUAGGUCAGAAAUCUGACAUGGUCUCAGAGGGCUAAAUUCAAGGUGUCUGCAGGACAGUGUUCCUGCUGGAGGCUCUUGAGGGAGAAUCGGUUUCCUUGCCUUUUCCAAGUAUAGAGGCCGCCCACAUUGGCCCCCUUCCGUCUUCAAAGCCAGCAAUAGCUCCGAGUCUUUCCUCCCUAGCAUCGCUGUGACGCUGACUCUCCUGCCUCCCUCUUCCACAUUUAAGAACCUUGUGAUUACAUUGGUCCUCCCAGAUAAUCCAGAAUAAUCUCCCCAUCGCAAAAUCAGCUGAUUAGCAACCUCAAUUCCACCUGCAACCUUAAUUCUCCCCUGUCAUGAAAUAUAAGAAGGAGAUCCAUAUGUUCCGGGGAUUGGGAUGCAGACAUUUUGGAGGCAUUGUUCUGCCGACCACGCCAUCCUGACAGUUUUACCUCUGGAAUCUCUGCAGUCCACCUCCGCCUCGCCAUUCCUGCACCACUCCCUUUCUGGUUACCCGCUAUUUUCCCAAGAUGCCUUCAGUAGCACCUAUCCACUGUUGUCAUCUCUCUAACCUCCCUCUGUCCACAGUCCCCUGGGCCCCCACUCCAAGACAAAGAUGCAGAUGUCGCUACUUCCAUGGCACUGUCAUCUGCAAGGGAGCAUCCUAACUCUCCUUGGGCACACACAGGCCCUCAACCUGCCCUACCCCAUUGGUUCCUCCGGAUCCAUGACCCCUCCCACCCUCCGCCUCACACCCCUGUGCUCCCUUAAUAGUAAAUCACUUCUGGUUCUCUUAAGAUCCUGGGGCAUUUGGUUCUUCCUGGCCUUGGCCUGUGUGGCUCCCAUUCUCUGAACUGUCCUGCCCACCUUUAUUCGCCUCCCCCAGGAAGCCUCCCUGACCCCCCAGACCCUUUCAUUGCCCUCCCUUGGAACAGAAAUGUGCUUUUCACUGACUGGAUUGGCCCAAAGAGAUCUGAACUUGAGGCUGCCUCCUCAUGUCACUGAGAGCCCUCUGGGGUGGGCACUGUGCCUUGCUUGCCUCUUUGGUCAUAGUGCCCAGCAUGAGAUUGGUCACAUAGUAGGUGCUCAAUGAACUCAGAUUGAACUAAACUCAAGGACUUGGUCGGGGGGUGGUGGUGGUGAGAAGACCAGCUGGGCUGCUUGGGGAAGUAAAGUAUAAAGUUGGAUGGAAAAGCACGAGGACCUUGGCUCUAUUUCUGGUUCUUGGGGUGGAAUAAUAAUGACAGCAACACCAAUGGUGGCUGGCCCCAAAGGUCGUCCCGUGCCAGGCAUAGGCUAAGUGCUUUAUGAGAACAUUAUCAAUCAAUUCCCACAACAGCCUUAAGAGGUACCAACUUUAUCAGCAUCCCCAUUUUAGAGAUGAGGGCCCUGAGGCUGGGCCAGGAAGUUAUCUUGAUCUUGGCUGUCCCUGAUUGGAGGGGUGGUGGGAGUUGGGGACGGGCGGCUCUGGCAGAGACCUGCAGGGAGGUUGCAGCUGGCCUGGCCUCUGGAAACAGCCACCUUAAUGCU